rnacentral:rRNA from 1 species
GUAAAGGGUGCGUAGGCGGCCGAUCAAGUCAGGUGUGAAAGACCCGUGCUUAACAUGGGGGUUGCACUUGAAACUGGUUGGCUUGAGUAUGGGAGAGGCAAGCGGAAUUCCCGGUGUAGCGGUGAAAUGCGUAGAGAUCGGGAGGAACACCAGUGGCGAAGGCGGCUUGCUGGACCAAAACUGACGCUGAGGCACGAAAGCGUGGGUAGCAAACAGGAUUAGAUACCCUGGUAGUCCACGCCGUAAACGAUGGAUACUAGGUGUAGGGGGUUUAACACCUUC